rnacentral:rRNA from 1 species
GGAGGAAGGCGGGGACGACGUCAAGUCAUCAUGGCCCUUACGACCAGGGCUACACACGUGCUACAAUGGUAGGUACAGAGGGCAGCUACACAGCGAUGUGAUGCGAAUCUUUCAAAGCCUAUCGUAGUCCAGAUUGAAGUCUGCAACUCGACUCCAUGAAGUAGGAAUCGCUAGUAAUCGCGGAUCAGAAUGCCGCGGUGAAUACGUUCCCGGGCCUUGUACACACCGCCCGU